AGGAGCCUGAGGAGAGCGUGGCCUGCCCCUUAGUCCAGGCAAGUCCUUUUGGGUCUUACAUUCUGGAUUUUGGAUCCGGUCUUUCUGGAGUGCCAGGCGCUCCCUAUUCACUAUGUGCUGUCAGGACUUGGAUUGUGGACCAAGAUGGAGGGCGGCUCUUACACCUGCAGGGAUGCAGAGAUGCUUUACAUGCUGACAGUGGAGUUUCCUUAAAAACAAGGACAUCGGGGGCUUCCCUGGUGGCGCAGUGGUUGAGAGUCUGCCUGCUGAUGCAGGGGACACGGGUUUGAGCCCUGGUCCGGGAAGAUCCCACAUGCCGCGGAGCAACUAAGCCCGUGCGCCACAACUACUGAGCCUGCACGUCUGGAGCCGUGCUCUGCAACGAGAGGCCGCGACAGUAAGAGGCCCGUGCACCGCGAUGAAGAGUGGCCCCCGCUCACCACAACUGGAGAAAGCCCUCGCACAGAAACGAAGAACCAACACAGCCAAAAUAAAUAAAUAAAUUAAUUAAUUAAUUAAAAAAAAACAAAAAAACAAAAAACAAACAAGGACAUCCUCUCACAUCACCACAGUACAACUAUCAAAAGCCAGAAAUUAGCAUCAAUACAAUACUGUUAUUUAAUCAAUGGACUUUAUUCAAAUUUCAUCAAUUGUUCCACUAGUGUUUUUCAUGUCAUAUGGGAACAUUUUUCACAGUUCAGGAGCCAAUCCAGGAUGGCACAUAC